rfam:Triticum aestivum genome assembly, contig: Triticum_aestivum_CS42_TGACv1_scaffold_542890_6DS
UAUAUACUCCCUUCGUCCCAAAAUUCUUGUCUUAGAUUUGACAAGAUAUGGAUGUAUCUAAUACUAAAGCGUGACUUGAUAAAUUUGUAUCUAGACAAAUCUAAGACAAGAAUUUUGGGACGGAGGGCGUAGUAU